AAAAAGGGUGCUCGCUACUUUAAUAGCGCGUUGGUUCAAUAUUGAAUCGGCGGGGUAUGGCUAUCAAGACAUACCCAGUACAUAAUUUUUGUGAACGUGAGGCUGUUAGCUGCCGAAUUGCACUGACGCCUCC